GGCCGCUUGGUCUCGGGGCAUGAUUCUCGCUCCGGGUGCGAGAGGUCCCGGGUUCGAUUCCCGGAGCGGCCC
rnacentral:tRNA from 1 species